rnacentral:rRNA from 1 species
AUUGAACGCUGGCGGCAUGCCUUACACAUGCAAGUCGAACGGCAGCACGGGUGCUUGCACCUGGUGGCGAGUGGCGAACGGGUGAGUAAUACAUCGGAACGUACCUUAUCGUGGGGGAUAACGCAGCGAAAGUUGCGCUAAUACCGCAUACGCCCUGAGGGGGAAAGCGGGGGACCGUAAGGCCUCGCGCGAUUAGAGCGGCCGAUGUCUGACUAGCUUGUUGGUGAGGUAAAAGCUCACCAAGGCGAUGAUCAGUAGCUGGUCUGAGAGGACGACCGGCCAAAAGGGGACAGAGACCCGCCCCAGACUCGUACGGAGGCCAGCGGGGGGAAAUUUUGGACAAUGGGGGCAACCCUGACCAAGCAAGGCCGCGUGAGUGAAGAAGGCCUUCGGGUUGUAAAGCUCUUUUGUCAGGAAAGAAACAGCAGCUCUAACACAGUCUGCAAAUGACGGUACCUGAAGAAUAAGCACCGGCUAACUACGUGCCAGCCGCCGCAGUAA